rnacentral:ncRNA from 2 species
GCAGAGUAAAAAACCGCGCGUAAAGUGUCGCCGGAACGGGGAGUUGUCCGGCGGACGAAAAGAGUCGCUUCUUGCGGUGCGGUUUUUGCAUCCCGCUGC